rnacentral:rRNA from 1 species
UACGGAGGGUGCGAGCGUUGUCCGGAAUCACUGGGCGUAAAGGGCGCGUAGGCGGCCUGAUAAGUAGGGGGUGAAAUCCUGCGGCUUAACCGCAGGGCUGCCUUCUAAACUGUCAGGCUAGAGCACAGUAGAGGCAGGUGGAAUUCCCGGUGUAGCGGUGGAAUGCGUAGAUAUCUGGAGGAACACCGGUGGCGAAGGCGGCAUCCUGGACCGGCACUGACGCUGAGGAGCGAAAGCCAGGGGAGCAAACGGG